UACGUAGGGGGCAAGCGUUGUCCGGAAUCAUUGGGCGUAAAGAGCGCGUAGGCGGUCCGGUAAGUCCGCUGUGAAAGUCAAGGGCUCAACCCUUGAAUGCCGGUGGAUACUGUCGGGCUAGAGUCCGGAAGAGGCGAGUGGAAUUCCUGGUGUAGCGGUGAAAUGCGCAGAUAUCAGGAGGAACACCAAUGGCGAAGGCAGCUCGCUGGGACGUCACUGACGCUGAGACGCGAAAGCGUGGGGAGCAAACAGG
rnacentral:rRNA from 1 species